AAUCAACGCUGGCGGCGUGCCUCAGACAUGCAAGUCGAACGAUUAAAGCUCUCUUCGGAGAGUGCAUAAAGUGGCGCACGGGUGAGUAACACGUAAGUAAUCUACCUUCGAGUGGGGAAUAACGUCCGGAAACGGAAGCUAAUACCGCAUAAUGCAGCGGCACCUAAUGGUGACAGUUGUUAAAGAAUUUAUUCGCUUGAAGAGGAGCUUGCGGCAGAUUCGCUAGUUGGUAAGGUAAUGGCUGACCAAGGCUUCGAUCUGUAACCGGUCUAAGAGGACGAUCGGUCACACUGACACUGAAUAACGGGUCAGACUCCUACGGGAGGCAGCAGUCGGGAAUUUUGGGCAAUGGGCGAAAGCCUGACCCAGCAACGCCGCGUGAAGGAUGAAGUAUUUCGGUAUGUAAACUUCGAAAGAAUGGGAAGAAUCAAUGACGGUACCAUUUAUAAGGUCCGGCUAACUACGUGCCAGCCGCCGCCGUAA
rnacentral:rRNA from 1 species